rnacentral:ncRNA from 2 species
GGUUGGUUCUGUUUGUGGAUCCAGACUGUGUGCAGUGCCCUACUCAGAAAGGUGGUCAUCACAUAGACUCACUUGUAGUGACUGCAAGCCUGAGUAGAGCAAAGCUCACCAGCACAACAGAUGCACCGGCCUAUGGGACUGUGAU